rnacentral:ncRNA from 2 species
AAAACUAAAAUGGGGAGCUGGAUUAAUCCGGCUGAGAGGAAGCUGUGUUGCUUCGACCCAUAUAACCUGAACUGGGUAAUGCCAGCGAAGGGAAAAUAUUGUCCAAAGUU